AUUUCAUCCCAUCACCCGCGCCCGCAGCUCUUCCUCGCUCGAACAGGACCUGCAGCUCCUCCUCGCUCUGUCGCCUUCCCAUUGUCGCACCAGAGGCCGCUCCAACCGUCGCCGCUUCUCUGCUGGUGAUCUUUCCCCCCUUCUCUCUUGCUCUCUGGUGCCCUCUUCUUCUCCCAAAUUAGUGCCCUAAUCACAGCCUUCUCAGAAAUCGUCGUCUCCCUCGCAGGGAAGACAAGGCAUAGAAGGCUGCAUUCUCUGAUCGCCGGUCGCUGUUGCUAUUGCCCUCGUUUUGUCAACUUCUGCCUGGCUGCGGCCUUCAAGAAUAUCACAUGAAUGAAUAUCUGCACAACAAAUACGGUGUGCAAUUAUGUAGGCCAUUGGACAUUGUCGAUAUCAACGCAACGGAAGAGAAAGAAGUGACGAAGACAAAUGGAAGGAUCAACAUUCCACUUUUCAUGAUUGUUUGUUUUGCUACUACUUGUUUUCUUUGUUGGAUCUGUACUCGUUAAACUUAUGUACUGGAUGGGACACAUAUGUUAUUUGGUGAAUGUUUUAAACUUUGUUGGAUCUGUACUCGUUAAACUUUUAUACAGGUUGUAGUCGUUAAACUUAUGUACUGGAUGAGACAACAAGUUGUGGUGAAUGUUUUUAAACUCUCAUACAGGUUGCAGUGUUGGAUGAAUAUCAGUUAAUCAUUGUCAAGUUGACUACUUGUUUAUAGGCUGGAUUUCCAUUACAUUGAUGGCGUCUAUUUAUGAAUU